AUUGAACGCUGGCGGCAGGCUUAACACAUGCAAGUCGAGCGGAGAUGAGGUGCUUGCACCUUAUCUUAGCGGCGGACUGGUGAGUAAUGCUUAGGAAUCUGCCUAUUAGUGGGGGACAACAUUCCGAAAGGAAUGCUAAUACCGCAUACGUCCUACGGGAGAAAGCAGGGGAUCUUCGGACAUUGCGCUAAUAGAUGAGCCUAAGUCGGAUUAGCUAGUUGGUGGGGUAAAGGCCUACCAAGGCGACGAUCUGUAGCGGGUCUGAGAGGAUGAUCCGCCACACUGGGACUGAGACACGGCCCAGACUCCUACGGGAGGCAGCAGUGGGGAAUAUUGGACAAUGGGGGGAACCCUGAUCCAGCCAUGCCGCGUGUGUGAAGAAGGCCUUAUGGUUGUAAAGCACUUUAAGCGAGGAGGAGGCUACUGAGACUAAUACUCUUGGAUAGUGGACGUUACUCGCAGAAUAAGCACCGGCUAACUCUGUGCCAGCCGCCGCAGUAAGAC
rnacentral:rRNA from 1 species